AUCUUAUAAUGUUAUUUAAUUGCAUCCAAAUGCUUUCACAGGGGAUUCCUAUAGAGAUGGAGUGGGAACGAAACUUUUGUUGGGUUUAGGGACUCGAAUUGACGAGACUACUGGCAUUGAAUUGGAGAACCUGCAGGCUUUGGAUUGGAUUGUCAUCUUUGUCCGCUGGCUGAUCUUCCCUACCAUUAGGUUGGGAAAGAAUGUGAGUCUAGCAAUGUUAUAACUUGCGUGAAUGUUGUGUUUCAGAAAAGUUAUUUACUAAUAUAUUUGGUUGCAGUUGUUAAUAUAUUUUGCUUGUGUGAAUGUAUUGGCCAUGAUUUUCAUUUUCCAUCCGUAUAAAUUGCUGCCAAUGAUCCUUGGUUUACGUGGGACUUUGUUUCUGAAAAUGUUUGGCUGCAGUUGUUAAUAUAUGGGGCUAGGAUAUACUAGAAAUAUGAUGAUUUUUGUUAGUCACACCAUGUCGAUUAUCUUACACAAUCUAGCAUAAGACAGUUGCUUGAAACUAAUGGGACCCCACAUGUAUCUUCACUUAGAUCAGCAACUAUGAACCUACUUUAGGAACAGUAAGUAACACUUUGUUUUUCCUGCUAUUAUCUUUGUUGCCGAUCAAGUUCACUUAUCUUCUUUCUUAAUGCAUAUAUGUGAUUCGCUGAAUAUGAGCUUGACUUUAAAUAUCUCAAUUUCCUCUUUGGACUGUAUUGGAACUUCGUAAACCAAUUGAUACUUGCUCAAUUGAUGGGCCAGCAAAAUAUCUUUUCUCAAGUGCAUCAAGUGCGGUAUUUGUUCUUAUGCCUUUUAAUUGGAGAGGUGCUACAAUGUUGUAUCUAUGUUGUUUUCUUCCAUGUCUGUUCGUAAUUCUGUCUUGAUACAAAGUACAGAGAUUCAAUAGAGUCACACGGAAUUGCUGUUAUCAAUUCUUUUAUUUGCAAGUUUUAUUUGUUGAAAAAAGCACUAUACUCUAAAUUUGAUGCAGGCAAUGCCGUCACUGAAGUCUCGCUGAAACCCAUAUUUAUUUGCAAGUUUGUUUCUAAUUGCAUUAAAAUUGUGAAAUUGUUCGAUAGGUUUUGGGUCCCACAACCCAUUGACUAGGUAAGGUGAGUAUUUAUUUAUUGGUGAAUUUCUAUCCGUACAUAUAAAGUGAAAUUUUAAGAGAUUUUCAAAUAAAAAUUGGACCAUAUUGAACUAAUGUUGGAGGUGAUAUCUGGUUUUCUUUAGCCCUAACACAUAUAGCGUUCAAUUAGCAAAGGGCAUCACCCUACCUGAUACAUCAUUCUCCACAUGCAUUAAAGUGAAGCAUAUAAGUUAGUAUAGUUUUUUCAUACUUGUUUAUUAAAAGAUUGAAGGCUAGAGUUUGAAUUGGGUUUGCCAAUUAGGUGCAAACUAGAUAACCUCAUAUCGAUAAGAAUUGUGUGGGAAUUUGUUGACAUUUUAGAACCUAAUGGUAGCCUUACGUAUCUUCAUAGUCUUCUCUUCAAGUUUCUAACUGAAAAGCAACCAACGGCCCCUAUCAAUUCUUCUUUGCUGAUUUUUCUCCUAUAUUUUGGAAUCAAGAAUGGUUGAGACCAUUGAUUUUAUACUUUGUAUAAUUCAAACCUAAAAUUUGCUGCUCUGAUUUCUUUGGAAAGCCGUGCUUUCUCCAUUCUGGUUUGGAAAGUAUGGGAUUAGGGAUUUUUUAGGCUGCUCAAAAAUGUGAAUGAUGCAAGUAUAGAGUUGAGACCUUAAUGAGAGAACAAAUACCUCAUCUUUUUGUAAAUUUAUUUUUGGUUCGUUUAUUAUGUUGGGUUUUUUUCAUGAGCUGCCUUAAAACUUUUUGUUGUUAAUACGUUUGACAUUUGU